rnacentral:rRNA from 1 species
AUUGAACGCUGGCGGCAGGCCUAACACAUGCAAGUCGAAUGGUAACAGGAAACAGCUUGCUGUUUCGCUGACGAGUGGCGGACGGGUGAGUAAUGUCUGGGAAACUGCCUGAUGGAGGGGGAUAACUACUGGAAACGGUAGCUAAUACCGCAUAACGUCGCAAGACCAAAGAGGGGGACCUUCGGGCCUCUUGCCAUCAGAUGUGCCCAGAUGGGAUUAGCUAGUAGGUGGGGUAACGGCUCACCUAGGCGACGAUCCCUAGCUGGUCUGAGAGGAUGACCAGCCACACUGGAACUGAGACACGGUCCAGACUCCUACGGGAGGCAGCAGUGGGGAAUAUUGCACAAUGGGCGCAAGCCUGAUGCAGCCAUGCCGCGUGUAUGAUAAGGCCUUCGGGUUGUAAAGUACUUUCAGCGGGGAGGAAGGGAGUAAAGUUAAUACCUUUGCUCAUUGACGUUACCCGCAGAAGAAGCACCGGCUAACUCCGUG